rnacentral:rRNA from 1 species
GUUAAACAUAAAGAGCGUAGGGUGGAUGCCUAGGCACUAAGAGCCGAUGAAAGACGUGAUAAGCUGCGAAAAGCUGCGGUAAGGAGCAAAUAUCCAUUGACCCGCAGAUAUCUGAAUGGGGAAACCUGCUUAAGAGAACCUUAAGUAUCCAUGGGUGAAUAAAAUAGUCCAUGGAAGGGAACCCGGUGAACUGAAACAUCUAAGUAGCCGGAGGAAGAGAAAGAAAAAUCGAUUUUGGGAGUAGUGGCGAGCGAAACCGAAAGAGCCUAAACCAUUGUGCGAGCACGAUGGGGUUAUGGACUGCACAAAGUCAAAGACUUGUUACCGGAAGGGAUAUGGAAAGACCUGCCAGAGAACGUGAGAGCCGUGUAGGGGAAAACAAGUCAAGAUGAGCAGUAUCCGAAGUACCAUAAGACACGAGAAACCUUGUGGGAAGUCGGGGGGACCACCCCCCAAGGCUAAAUACUACUUAGUGACCGAUAGCGCAUAGUACUGUGAAGGAAAGGUGAAAAGGACCCCGGGAGGGGAGUGAAAGAGAACCUGAAACCCUAUGUUUACAAGCUGUGGAACACCGCAAGGUGAACCGCGUACUUUUUGUAGAACGGUCCGGCGAGUUGCAUGUACUGGCAAGGUUAAGCACUAAAGGUGCGAAGCCGAAGAGAGAUCAAGUCUUAAUAGGGCGAAGAAGUCAGUGAAUGCAGACCCGAAACCGGGUGAUCUAUCCAUGUCCAGGUUGAAGUCAACGUAAAAGUUUAUGGAGGACCGAACCCACAUCCGUUGAAAAGGGUGGGGAUGAGGUGUGGAUAGGGGAGAAAUUCCAAUCGAACCCGGAGAUAGCUGGUUCUCCUCGAAAUAGUUUUAGGACUAGCCUUAAUUUAGUCUGAUGGAGGUAGAGCACUGAAUUUUUGCGGGGGCGUCAAAGCUUACCAAUGAAUAUCAAACUGCGAAUGCCAUACAGAUGAUGAUUAGGAGUCAGACUACACGAGAUAAGUUGGGUAGUCGAAAGGGAAAGAGCCCAGAUCUACGGCUAAGGUCCCAAAGUGAGUGUUAAGUGGAAAAGGAUGUAGGAUUUCAUAGACAACUAGGAUGUUGGCUUAGAAGCAGCCAUACAUUAAAAGAGUGCGUAAUAGCUCACUAGUCGAGAGGUUCUGCGCCGAAAAUGUCCGGGGCUAAAACACUACACCGAAGCCAAGGGAUGACGAAAGUCAUCGGUAGAGGAGCAAUCUUACCGACGUAGAAGCCAUACCGAAAGGAGUGGUGGAGAAGUAAGAAGAGAGAAUGCCGGAAUGAGUAGCGAGAGUGAGGUGAGAAUCCUCACGGCCAAAUACCCAAGGAUUCCAGAGUAAAGCUGAUCUGCUCUGGGUAAGUCGGGACCUAAGGCGAGGGAGAAAUCCGUAGUCGAUGGACAUCAGGUAUAUAAUCCUGAACUGCAUAUAAUCAGAAAUGUGGGGACACAGAGACUUAAGUCGAACCCGGGAGAGCAAAGACCGGGAUAAGCGAGGUAGCAGGUGGUAGGAAAAACCGCCACGAAAUGCGAAUACGUGAUAUGUAGCGAAGAAAAGUAGCGAAGUCGAAUAGGGAGCUGUCAAGAAAAGCCGCUAUAGUGUUAUAUGUACCCGUACCGAAAACCGACACAGGUGGGUGAGGAGAGAAUCCUAAGGCCGGCGGGAGAAGCAUUGUUAAGGAACUCGGCAAAAUGACCCCGUAACUUCGGGAGAAGGGGUACCGAAAGGUCACAGAAAAAAGGCUCAAGCAACUGUUUAGCAAAAACACAGGUCUAUGCGAAACCGAAAGGUGAAGUAUAUGGGCUGACGCCUGCCCGGUGCUGGAAGGUUAAGAGGAGAGGUCAGGCAACGAAGCUUUGAAUCUAAGCCCCAGUAAACGGCGGCCGUAACUAUAACGGUCCUAAGGUAGCGAAAUUCCUUGUCGGGUAAGUUCCGACCCGCACGAAAGG